CCCCCUUGAUGUUUUGCACUGUGUUCAGGGCAAGGGUAAAGUGAAGUCAUCACAAGUGCUCUUUUAAGCUUAAGGAAUUUGAUAAAUGAAGUUGUGUGGGGUCCUGGCAGGCAACAUGUUUCAGCAAAGUACAGUGACCAUCUGUGGACCAGUCUCCUGGUUUAUUAUAGGCACAUAUUCCAGUUCAAAUUGCUUUGUGAAACUUUUUUUGUGGGUCUCUCUCUUUUUAUAUUUCAGCUUUAUACAAUUAUUCCCAAAUCCUCAAAACUGACAGUGAGGGAGAGUAAUUUGAAAGGACUGCUCAACGCAAGUCUUUUGAAGAUUUGCAUCAUAGCUACAUUUUUCUAAUUUCCUGGCAUCUCCUCUGUUCUCCUGGGCUUUUCGAAAACAAUUACAAGUGGGCGAAUACGUUUAGUAACCGAUUCCAUCGAGACUUCUGGACCAUCUUUUGGACUUUCUGUCUCUGGACAUUUUAGAUUUUAAAAUUCAUUUGGCACCCAUCCGUGUUUCCAGAACAAGGAAAACGAGUGCAUAUUCUCAAGGAUCUCAUGAUCUAAUGAAGGGCAAGGAAGAGGUCCAGAUUCAUAUGUCGUUUCUGAAUAUAGAGAAUAACGUCUGGAGGAAAGAAG
rnacentral:lncRNA from 1 species